AACGCACGAGACCUGCGGACCUGCGGAAGGAUCGUUAAUGAGAAACUGCCCCUCGCGGGUAGAUCUCCCACCCUUUGUAAACUUACCUUUGUUGCUUUGGCAGGCCCGUCUCCGGACCGCCGGCUUCGGCUGGCCAGUGCCUGCCAGAGGAUUCUAAAACUCUGUCUGUCAGUGUUGUCUGAGUCUAUAUACAAUCGUUAAAACUUUUAACAAUGGAUCUCUAGAUCGGAAGAGCACACG
rnacentral:misc_RNA from 1 species